AGUAACGGCGAGUGAAGCGGGAUGAGCUCAAAUUUAAAAUCUGGCUGGUUUACUAGUCCGAAUUGUAGUUUAUAGAAGCGUUUUCGGUGGCAGCCUGGGUAUAAAUCCUUUGGAAUAGGGUAUCAUAGAGGGUGAGAAUCCCGUCUUUGACUCAGUGCAUGCUACUAUGUGAUACGUUUUCAAAGAGUCGAGUUGUUUGGGAAUGCAGCUCAAAAUGGGUGGUAAAUUUCAUCUAAAGCUAAAUAUUGGCGAGAGACCGAUAGCGAACAAGUACCGUGAGGGAAAGAUGAAAAGAACUUUGAAAAGAGAGUUAAACAGUGCGUGAAAUUGUUGAAAGGGAAACGCUUGACACCAGUCAUGCGAGUGGAAAAUCAGUCUUUUGCAAUGGGGAGUUGUGGGCGUUCAGACCGCAAGGCUGGCGUUUGUUUCAUCUUUGUUGUAAGUGAUGCACUUUUUCAUUUGCAGGUCAACAUCAGUUUGCUUUGCUGGACAAAACCCCAAGGGAAGGUGGCAGCUUAGGCUGUGUUAUAGCCCUGGGGCGAUACAGUGGAGUGGACUGAGGUUUUCGCAGUGUGUGCUCUCUGGGCAAGGCUGACUGGGUGCUAUGGGAUCGUUCGGCGUACAAUGCAUGCAUUUUGCGCCGUGUCUUUUUCAUACUCGCUCAACUCGGCUCUUCCACA
rnacentral:rRNA from 2 species